rnacentral:rRNA from 1 species
GACGAACGCUGGCGGCGUGCUUAACACAUGCAAGUCGAACGGAAAGGCCCUGCUUUUGUGGGGGGCUCGAGUGGCGAACGGGUGAGUAACACGUGAGUAACCUGCCCUGGACUUUGGGAUAACUUCAGGAAACUGGGGCUAAUACCGGAUAGGAGCUCCUGCUGCAUGGUGGGGGUUGGAAAGUUUCGUCGGUUGGGGAUGGACUCGCGGCUUAUCAGCUUGUUGGUGGGGUAGUGGCUUACCAAGGCUUUGACGGGUAGCCGGCCUGAGAGGGUGACCGGCCACAUUGGGACUGAGAUACGGCCCAGCCUCCUACGGGAGGCAGCAGUGGGGAAUAUUGCACAAUGGGCGGAAGCCUGAUGCAGCAACGCCGCGUGCGGGAUGACGGCCUUCGGGUUGUAAACCGCUUUCGCCUGGGACGAAGCGUGAGUGACGGUAAUGGGUAAAGAAGCACCGGCUAACUACGUG